rnacentral:rRNA from 1 species
UACGUAGGGUCCGAGCGUUUGUCCGGAAUUACUGGGCGUAAAGAGCUCGUAGGUGGUUUGUCGCGUUGUUCGUGAAAACUCACAGCUCAACUGUGGGCGUGCGGGCGAUACGGGCAGACUAGAGUACUGCAGGGGAGACUGGAAUUCCUGGUGUAGCGGUGAAAUGCGCAGAUAUCAGGAGGAACACCGGUGGCGAAGGCGGUUCUCUGGGCAUUACCUGACGCUGAGGAGCGAAAGUGUGGGGAGCGAACGGG